rnacentral:rRNA from 1 species
CCCUUUGGGUGUGACUGCGUACCUUUUGUAUAAUGGGUCAGCGACUUAUAUUCUGUAGCAAGGUUAACCGAAUAGGGGAGCCGGAGGGAAACCGAGUCUUAAUUGGGCGUUAAGUUGCAGGGUAUAGACCCGAAACCCGGUGAUCUAGCCAUGGGCAGGUUGAAGGUUGGGUAACACUAACUGGAGGACCGAACCGACUAAUGUUGAAAAAUUAGCGGAUGACCUGUGGCUGGGGGUGAAAGGCCAAUCAAACCGGGAGAUAGCUGGUUCUCCCCGAAAGCUAUUUAGGUAGCGCCUCGUGAAUUCAUCUCCGGGGGUAGAGCACUGUUUCGGCUAGGGGGCCAUCCCGGCUUACCAACCCGAUGCAAACUGCGAAUACCGGAGAAUGUUAUCACGGGAGACACACGGCGGGUGCUAACGUCCGUCGUGAAGAGGGAAACAACCCAGACCGCCAGCUAAGGUCCCAAAGUCAUGGUUAAGUGGGAAACGAUGUGGGAAGGCCCAGACAGCCAGGAUGUUGGCUUAGAAGCAGCCAUCAUUUAAAGAAAGCGUAAUAGCUCACUGGUCGAGUCGGCCUGCGCGGAAGAUGUAACGGGGCUAAACCAUGCACCGAAGCUGCGGCAGCGACACUGUGUGUUGUUGGGUAGGGGAGCGUUCUGUAAGCCUGUGAAGGUGUGUCGUGAGGCAUGCUGGAGGUAUCAGAAGUGCGAAUGCUGACAUAAGUAACGAUAAAGCGGGUGAAAAGCCCGCUCGCCGGAAGACCAAGGGUUCCUGUCCAACGUUAAUCGGGGCAGGGUGAGUCGACCCCUAAGGCGAGGCCGAAAGGCGUAGUCGAUGGGAAACGGGUUAAUAUUCCCGUACUUGGUGUUACUGCGAAGGGGGGACGGAGAAGGCUAUGUUGGCCGGGCGACGGUUGUCCCGGUUUAAGCGUGUAGGUGUGUGUUCCAGGUAAAUCCGGUUCACUUUAACACUGAGGCGUGACGACGAGGCACUACGGUGCUGAAGCAACAAAUGCCCUGCUUCCAGGAAAAGCCUCUAAGCAUCAGGUAACAUCAAAUCGUACCCCAAACCGACACAGGUGGUCAGGUAGAGAAUACCAAGGCGCUUGAGAGAACUCGGGUGAAGGAACUAGGCAAAAUGGUGCCGUAACUUCGGGAGAAGGCACGCUGACACGUAGGUGAAGUGAUUUACUCAUGGAGCUGAAGUCAGUCGAAGAUACCAGCUGGCUGCAACUGUUUAUUAAAAACACAGCACUGUGCAAACACGAAAGUGGACGUAUACGGUGUGACGCCUGCCCGGUGCCGGAAGGUUAAUUGAUGGGGUCAGCGCAAGCGAAGCUCCUGAUCGAAGCCCCGGUAAACGGCGGCCGUAACUAUAACGGUCCUAAGGUAGCGAAAUUCCUUGUCGGGUAAGUUCCGACCUGCACGAAUGGCGUAAUGAUGGCCAGGCUGUCUCCACCCGAGACUCAGUGAAAUUGAACUCGCUGUGAAGAUGCAGUGUACCCGCGGCAAGACGGAAAGACCCCGUGAACCUUUACUAUAGCUUGACACUGAACAUUGAGCCUUGAUGUGUAGGAUAGGUGGGAGGCUUUGAAGUGUGGACGCCAGUCUGCAUGGAGCCGACCUUGAAAUACCACCCUUUAAUGUUUGAUGUUCUAACGUGGACCCGUUACCCGGGUUGCGGACAGUGUCUGGUGGGUAGUUUGACUGGGGCGGUCUCCUCCUAAAGAGUAACGGAGGAGCACGAAGGUUGGCUAAUCCUGGUCGGACAUCAGGAGGUUAGUGCAAUGGCAUAAGCCAGCUUGACUGCGAGCGUGACGGCGCGAGCAGGUGCGAAAGCAGGUCAUAGUGAUCCGGUGGUUCUGAAUGGAAGGGCCAUCGCUCAACGGAUAAAAGGUACUCCGGGGAUAACAGGCUGAUACCGCCCAAGAGUUCAUAUCGACGGCGGUGUUUGGCACCUCGAUGUCGGCUCAUCACAUCCUGGGGCUGAAGUAGGUCCCAAGGGUAUGGCUGUUCGCCAUUUAAAGUGGUACGCGAGCUGGGUUUAGAACGUCGUGAGACAGUUCGGUCCCUAUCUGCCGUGGGCGCUGGAGAACUGAGGGGGGCUGCUCCUAGUACGAGAGGACCGGAGUGGACGCAUCACUGGUGUUCGGGUUGUCAUGCCAAUGGCACUGCCCGGUAGCUAAAUGCGGAAGAGAUAAGUGCUGAAAGCAUCUAAGCACGAAACUUGCCCCGAGAUGAGUUCUCCCUGAGACUUUAGGUCUCCUGAAGGAACGUUGAAGACGACGACGUUGAUAGGCCGGGUGUGUAAGCGCAGCGAUGCGUUGAGCUAACCGGUACUAAUGAACCG